rnacentral:rRNA from 1 species
CCUACGGGAGGCAGCAGUAGGGAAUAUUCGGCAAUGGGCGAAAGCCUGACCGAGCAACGCCGCGUGAGUGAAGAAGGCUUUCGGGUUGUAAACUUCUUUUCUCAGGGACGAAGAAAGUUACGGUACCUGAGGAAUGAGCCACGGUUAACUACGUACCAGCCGCCGCGGAAAUACGUAGGUGGCAAGCGUUAUCCGGAUUUACUGGGUGUAAGGGGCGAGUAGGCGGGAAAGAAAGUCUGAUGUGAAAACCAUGGGCUCAACCGGUGAACUGCAUUUGAAACUGGUUUGCUUGAGUACGGGAGAGGCAGAUGGAAUUCCGAGUGUAGCGGUGAAAUGCGUAGAGAUAAGGAGGAACACCAGUGGCGAAGGCGGUUUGCUGGACAGCAACUGACGCUGAGGUGCGAAAGCGUGGGGAGCAAACAGGAUUAGAUACCCGUGUAGUC